rnacentral:piRNA from 1 species
UGCCAGUAGUUACCCUCUUCUAGUCA